rnacentral:rRNA from 1 species
GAUCAUGGCUCAGGAUGAACGCUAGCUACAGGCUUAACACAUGCAAGUCAGGGGCAGCAUGUCGGUUGCUUGCAACCGAUGAUGGCGACCGGCGCACGGGUGAGUAACGCGUAUCCAACCUACCCUUGUCCAUCGGAUAACCCGUCGAAAGGCGGCCUAACACGAUAUGCGGUUCUCAGCAGGCAUCUAACGAGAACGAAAUGUGAAGGAGAAGGAUGGGGGAUGCGUCUGAUUAGCUUGUUGGCGGGGCAACGGCCCACCAAGGCGACGAUGCGUAGGGGUUCUGAGAGGAAGGUCCCCCACACUGGUACUGAGACACGGACCAGACUCCUACGGGAGGCAGCAGUGAGGAAUAUUGGUCAAUGGGCGCAGGCCUGAACCAGCCAAGUCGCGUGAGGGAGGACGGUCCUACGGAUUGUAAACCUCUUUUGUCGGGGAGUAACGUGCGGGACGCGUCCCGUAUUGAGAGUACCCGAAGAAAAAGCAUCGGCUAACUCCGUG